rnacentral:rRNA from 1 species
GACGAACGCUGGCGGCGUGCUUAACACAUGCAAGUCGAACGGAAAGGCCCUGCUUUUGUGGGGUGCUCGAGUGGCGAACGGGUGAGUAACACGUGAGUAACCUGCCCUUGACUUUGGGAUAACUUCAGGAAACUGGGGCUAAUACCGGAUAGGAGCUCCUGCUGCAUGGUGGGGGUUGGAAAGUUUCGGCGGUUGGGGAUGGACUCGCGGCUUAUCAGCUUGUUGGUGGGGUAGUGGCUUACCAAGGCUUUGACGGGUAGCCGGCCUGAGAGGGUGACCGGGCAAAGUGGGGAAGAGGAAAGGCCCCAAAUCACACGGGAAGGAGAAAGGGGGGAAAUUGGAAAAAGGGCGGGAAGCUUGAGCAGGAAAGGCGGGGGGGGGGAGGACGGCUUUGGGGUGUUAAACCGUUUUGCCCGGGAACGAAGGUGAAGGGAGGGAAAGGGUAAAGGAAAAAAGGGAAAAAAAAUG